GAUGAACGCUGGCGGCGUGCCUAAUACAUGCAAGUCGAGCGAACGGACGAGAAGCUUGCUUCUCUGAUGUUAGCGGCGGACGGGUGAGUAACACGUGGAUAACCUACCUAUAAGACUGGGAUAACUUCGGGAAACCGUAGCUAAUACCGGAUAAUAUUUUGAACCGCAUGGUUCAAAAGUGAAAGACGGUCUUGCUGUCACUUAUAGAUGGAUCCGCACUGCAUUAGCUAGUUGGUAAGGUAACGGCUUACCAAGGCAACGAUGCAUAGCCGACCUGAGAGGGUGAUCGGCCACACUGGAACUGAGACACGGUCCAGACUCCUCCGGGAGGCAGCAGUAGGGAAUCUUCCGCAAUGGGCGAAAGCCUGACGGAGCAACGCCGCGUGAGUGAUGAAGGUCUUCGGAUCGUAAAACUCUGUUAUUAGGGAAGAACAUAUGUGUAAGUAACUGUGCACAUCUUGACGGUACCUAAUCAGAAAGCCACGGCUAACUACGUG
rnacentral:rRNA from 1 species